GAUGAACGCUGGCGGCGUGCCUAAUACAUGCAAGUCGAGCGAACAGACGAGGAGCUUGCUCCUCUGACGUUAGCGGCGGACGGGUGAGUAACACGUGGAUAACCUACCUAUAAGACUGGGAUAACUUCGGGAAACCGGAGCUAAUACCGGAUAAUAUAUUGAACCGGAUGGUUCAAUAGUGAAAGACGGUUUUGCUGUCACUUAUAGAUGGAUCCGCGCCGCAUUAGCUAGUUGGUAAGGUAACGGCUUACCAAGGCAACGAUGCGUAGCCGACCGGAGAGGGUGGUCGCCCACCCUGGAACUGAGACACGGUCCAGACUCCUACGGGAGGCAGCAGUAGGGAAUCUUCCGCAAUGGGCGAAAGCUUUACGGAGCAACCCCGCGUGAGUUAUGAAGGUCUUCGGUUCGUAAAACUCUGUUAUUAGUGAAGAACAAAUGUGUAAGUAACUAUGCACUUCUUGACGGUACCUAAUCAGAAAGCCACGGCUAACUACGUG
rnacentral:rRNA from 1 species